AACGAACGCUGGCGGCAUGCCUAACACAUGCAAGUCGAACGAGACCUUCGGGUCUAGUGGCGCACGGGUGCGUAACGCGUGGGAACCUGCCCUUAGGUUCGGAAUAACUCCCCGAAAGGGGUGCUAAUACCGGAUAAUGUCUUCGGACCAAAGAUUUAUCGCCUUUGGAUGGGCCCGCGUUGGAUUAGCUAGUUGGUAGGGUAAAAGCCUACCAAGGCGACGAUCCAUAGCUGGUCUGAGAGGAUGAUCAGCCACACUGGGACUGAGACACGGCCGAGACUAGUGAGGAAGGCAGCAGGGGGGCAGAUGAGAAGAGGGGCUGAAGUCUGAUCCAGCAAUUCUGGGUGAGUGAUAAAGGCCUUAGGGUUGUAAAGCUCUUGUACGCGCUAUGAUGAGGAAAGUAGCGGGUGAGUAGGCUCCGGCUGACUACGU
rnacentral:rRNA from 1 species